rnacentral:rRNA from 1 species
AUUGAACGCUGGCGGCAUGCCUUACACAUGCAAGUCGAACGGCAGCACGGGGGCAACCCUGGUGGCGAGUGGCGAACGGGUGAGUAACACAUCGGAACGUGCCCAGUAGUGGGGGAUAGCUCGGCGAAAGCCGGAUUAAUACCGCAUACGACCUACGGGUGAAAGCGGGGGAUCGCAAGACCUCGCGCUAUUGGAGCGGCCGAUGUCAGAUUAGGUUGUUGGUGGGGAAAGGCCUACCAAGCCGACGAUCUGUAGCUGGUCUGAGAGGACGACCAGCCACACUGGGACUGAGACACGGCCCAGACUCCUACGGGAGGCAGCAGUGGGGAAUUUUGGACAAUGGGCGCAAGCCUGAUCCAGCCAU